rnacentral:lncRNA from 1 species
GGAUAACAAUAAAGCAGGUAGGGAGAGAGUAAUGAGGGAAAGUUGUUUUAGAUGGGGUUAUUAGGGAUGAACUUUCUAAGGAUUUUGGCAAAAUUGGAAGAAAGAGAAUGUGUCAUCUGAUUUCCUGAGGGAAGAGCAUCCCCAUCAGUUUUAAAAACAAGUUUAAAAAAAUGCCUGAAGUAAUAAUUCAUGUUUUUUAUUUUUGCUUAAUAUUUCUUCUUUUCCUCCCUUCCAGGCACAUGGAAUGUAGUUUCUGGCCCUUUUGUGUUGUGAUGGGUCUUACGGCAAAUUCUGUCCAACAAAUCGUGGAAAGAAAUAAUGUGUGUCACUUCUGGAUUGAAGCAUUUACUUGUCAGCUGGAAAACAUGUAAACAUCUCCUGCCAUCUCAGUAUCAUGAAAAACUCAGCUGUUUCUGCCCCCGCAGAGUCUUCGCCGACAGCAGACCUACAUCUCUAUCCACCCAUAUCCAGAGGAACAACCAUCCCUCAGGAAGCCUGUUCAUCUCAGAUCCUGGAGUGUCCAAAGCUGAAAGAAGAAUGUUGCAUUCACGUCAAGCUCCUUUUAGACUCUGUGUUUUACCUCGUGGGCUUCCUGGGAAAACGAAUCACCGUUUUGCCGCUGAGCAUCUUCAAACAAAGAAGGGAGUAAGGUUGACGUGGCUGUUCAGAUCCGUUAGUGAAGCCGCGGCGGCUGUGGACAGGUGGUCUCCAGAACGCCCCAGCCUCAUCCGUACCCAACAGCAGCCUCGGAGAGUGGGCGUCUUUCUACUGCGGCACGAGGCUCCCAGAUACUGAGACAAAAAGUUGUUUUUGACACAUGUUGCUUUUAGGAAAAAGACUGGAAGUAGGAGGUAAAAUGACACAUAAGCGUCUGCAUCCUAAUGAUUAUAGAGAAGAAAGAAAAAAACCUGACUUCACUUAGGGGCUAGAUUAAAAUCAUCGAGGACUGGGGAAUAUAAAUAAUAGUGAAAGGGAAUAGAAGGGAAGGGAGAAGAAAUGUGUGGGAAAUACCAGAAAGGGAGACAGAAUAUGAAGACUCCUAACUCUGGGAAACGAACUAGGGGUGGUGGAAGGGGAGGAGGGCGGGGGGUGGGGGUGACUGGGUGACGGACACUGAGGGGGGCACUUGACGGGAUGCGCUCUGGGUGUUAUUCUGUAUGUUGGCAGACUGAACACCAAUAAAAAUAAAUUUGUUAUUAAAAAAAUCAUCGAGGAAACAAAAGAAUCCAGCAGGAAAUCAACGCGCGUGAUAAAACAGUGACCUCAAAAGAUACGCCACUUGGGCCCAAAUGUGUCUAAGGAAGUAGAAGAUUUUGCUUAUUCCUGACAAUUUUUUUCCCCAAUAAAUGUCAUCACACUAUUUAUUAGUUUUAAAUAGUUCAUUCCCUUGUAGUUCAGGCAUCCUGCACACCAUAACAUAAUUAAUUUGGAUUCUGGAAAUAUACUAUGCAAAAAUGGAAGAAUUGGCAAUUUGACUUCUACUGGUCACUGAGGCACUGAGCAGGGUGUGUGUCUCCCCUGUUUUAAUCUGGAUUAAUCCAGGCUUCUACGAAGGGGGCUCUCUGAGAGUAAAUAUGACUUCUUACUAAUACAGAAAAAUAAUAUGUUAUUUAUUUGCACACAUAAUGGUAAUGUGGCCGGUCACAUGUUCAUGAUCUCAUUUUAGGUUCUAAUUCUCAUGUCGAAAUGGCAGCUAAACCAUGACAUAUGAUUUCUGCUUUCACGUCUAAGAAAACCAAGAUACAUAGAAGGUAAAUAAUUAGUUCAAGAUCGUACCUUUCAUGAGUGUAACAUCCGGAAUAUGCUUCUCAGCCUCUCCGGCUCCAAGCUGUGCAUUUUCCCCUCCUCUGUCCCGACCUGAGGAAGAGUGAGAGCGGACGAUGAGCGGGGACCUGUUCUCAAUAUGACGGUCAACAUGCAACCUUCGUGACAGCACAGCGCCAAGGAAGGCAGGCCACGGGCCACAUUAAAAAAAUUCCUUUUGUAGAAUGCAUGCCAGGGACUCAGGGCCAAGGAUUAUUUUGUGUGUGUUCCUACGUCCACCCCACAAAGUACACAAUUUAGUGGUCUUUUACCAAAGGCAAUCUGAUGAAUGUGCGCUGAUCAAACAUCAGUGUCAGGAAAUGUGGGGAGUCUGGGGAGAACAGACUAACCCUUGGAUUGGGAGUGUGCUCAAAAUUCAGCAGUGGCUUUAGAAUAUCUAGAGAGAAAGGUCCUGGGGAUAGGCAUGUGAGCAAGGAAGAAAAAAGAACAACUAGGGAAUUUGUCUUGAAUUGGCCACAUAUGUGAAAAGAAUACUGUUUGUGUUUAAUGUGUGUUAUUUUGGAGUCACUUAGGGGCCAAUGGGUAUCACAGAGAGCUAGAAUGCUUCAGAGCCCACAUCCUACUCCAGUGACCUACAAGGAAGAACACUGGGGAGAAUCGCAGGGUGUGAGGGGUGGGGAGGACAGGUGCAGGAGGACAGGUGGGGAGGACAGGUGUGGGGGACAGGGUGGGGGGACAGAUGGGGGGCAGAGUGGGGGGGACAGAUGGGGAGGACACGUGCAGGUGGGGAGGACAGGUGCAGGAGUUUGCAAAGCCUCAGGGUACCGACGUGGCUGGGCGCUGAGUUGGGCACAGCCAGACUGCACACAGGGUCUGGACUUGCCUCCCGCUCUCACCUGGACCCUUCUCCUGCAUUACAAGCCAUGGACCAUUUUCCAUUCAGUGUUCUAUCUCUAGAGAUAUUCAUAGCAGAAAAAACAGGAAGAAGGUGCAGGUUGACCCCAGUGUGUAUCAAAGGGCACACUCUUCAGGUAUCUGAACAUACCCCAUAACCUUCGGCCUCCUCGAAGGACUUUAGAGCAUCCCACAGCCAGACAGGUUCAGACUGAGUUAUUACUUAAAAGAUGAAGAAUGAACAAAAGUUUUAAAAAGUUGGCAUAUUUCAAAUUCAUUUUACUUGUUAAAAAAAAAAAUACUGGCCCCACAGGUACUCAAGUCAGUGGGGAGGACAGGUGCAGGGGUGGGGAGGACAGGCAGGGAGGACAGUGCAGGGUAACCUUGAGAUGGCUUUCAGACUAGCAGGAACGAGUUCAGGUUGACUGUGGAAGAAGGAUAAAGCGGGUACGGGGGAGCCAGGGGCCAGGCCUGCAUGUGCCCCCCAGGGGCG